AACAAGACAAACCUUGGUUUUCGUACCCAAUGUUUGACCGUCCGUUUUAUUUAAAAAAAUUAUGAAAAAAAAUAAAAAGACAAGUUACGCAUAAAAUAUUAAUCAUGUUUUAUCAUCUAACAACAAUAAAAAUACGAAUCAUAAAAAAAUUUUAUAUAAGACGGACAGUUAAAGUUGGACACGAAAACUCAGGAGGACGGAGGUAGU
rfam:Oryza sativa (indica cultivar-group) chromosome 9, whole genome shotgun sequence.